AUUGAACGCUGGCGGCAUGCUUUACACAUGCAAGUCGAACGGUAACAGCACUUCGGUGGCUGACGAGUGGCGAACGGGUGAGUAAUACAUCGGAACGUGCCUAGUAGUGGGGGAUAACUACUCGAAAGAGUAGCUAAUACCGCAUGAGAUCUAAGGAUGAAAGCAGGGGACCUUCGGGCCUUGCGCUACUAGAGCGGCUGAUGGCAGAUUAGGUAGUUGGUGGGAUAAAAGCUUACCAAGCCGACGAUCUGUAGCUGGUCUGAGAGGACGACCAGCCACACUGGGACCGAGACACGGCCCAGACUCCUACGGGAGGCAGCAGUGGGGAAUUUUGGACAAUGGGCGCAAGCCUGAUCCAGCAAUGCCGCGUGCAGGAUGAAGGCCUUCGGGUUGUAAACUGCUUUUGUACGGAACGAAAAGCCCUCUUCUAAUACAGGAGGGUCAUGACGGUACCGUAAGAAUAAGCACCGGCUAACUACGUG
rnacentral:rRNA from 1 species